UAAACGACUCUCGGCAACGGAUAUCUCGGCUCACGCAUCGAUGAAGAACGUAGCAAAAUGCGAUACUUGGUGUGAAUUGCAGAAUCCCGUGAACCAUCGAGUUUUUGAACGCAAGUUGCGCCCGAAGCCUUCCGGCUAAGGGCACGUCUGCCUGGGCGUCACGCA
rnacentral:rRNA from 2 species